CGGCCACCGUUGCUCUCUAUACCGCCGCGCCCCUGACCCGGAAGAGCAUUCUCCUUAGCAACUGCGGGACCGCAGCGGCGCCAGCCUCCCGGGAGCAACGCUAGUGACGACUGAGCUACUCAAGGCAGGAAGAACUCUGAGCUGAGCAGUGGAGGCCUCCCCUGGAUCUGGAGAGAAGAGGCGACCUUGGAACCAGUAAUGAGCCAUCCUGACUGCAGGCUGAACCUCCGGCCCCUGGGGACCCCCAGAGGUGUGUCCUCUGUGGUUGGCCCACAUGGUGUUGGUGCUUCGCCAGGUGACAAAAAGUCAAAGAACAAGUCCAUACGAGGGAAGAAAAAGAGCAUAUUUGAAACCUACAUGUCCAAGGAGGAUGUCUCAGACGGCUUGAAGAGAGGAACACUUAUCCAGGGUGUAUUGAGAAUUAAUCCAAAGAAGUUUCAUGAAGCCUUCAUUCCUUCCCCGGAUGGUGAUCGAGACAUUUUUAUCGAUGGGGUUGUUGCUCGUAAUAGAGCCUUGAAUGGGGAUCUGGUGGUCGUGAAGCUGCUUCCAGAGGAGCAAUGGAAGGUAAUUAAACCAGAGAGCAAUGACAAAGAAACAGAAGGUGCCUAUGAAUUAGAUCUCCCUGAGGAGCUCUGUGGAAGCCAUCUCCCGCAGCAGUCCGUGAAAGGCUACGGUGACAGUCCUGAUGUCAUUAUAGAGGCUCAGUUUGAUGACAGCGACUCAGAAGAUGGACAUGGCAACACACAGAAUGUUCUGGUUGAUGGUGUCAAGAAACUCUCAGUUUGUGUUCAUGACAAAGGAAAAGAGGAUGCUGAUGCUCCAGUUACAAAGGAUGAGAGCACCUCCAUGUCACAGGACUCAAGAGCUUUACCAGAGAAAUCGCUGCAAAGAUCAGCAAAGGUGGUUUACAUCUUGGAGAAAAAACAUUCCAGGGCAGCAACUGGCUUUCUCAAACUUUUGGCUGAUAAGAACAGUGAACUGUUUAGGAAAUAUGCCUUGUUUUCUCCCUCGGACCACCGGGUGCCUAGAAUUUAUGUGCCUCUCAAGGACUGUCCCCAGGACUUUGUGACCCGGCCUAAAGAUUAUACCAACACACUGUUCAUCUGCCGCAUCGUGGACUGGAAGGAGGACAGCAAUUUUGCUCUGGGGCAGCUGGCUAAGAGUCUUGGGCAGGCUGGUGAAAUUGAGCCUGAAACAGAAGGAAUACUAACAGAGUAUGGUGUGGAUUUCUCUGAUUUCUCUUCGGAAGUUCUAGACUGUCUCCCUCAAGGUCUGCCCUGGACAAUCCCACCAGAGGAAUUCAGCAAGAGAAGAGAUUUAAGGAAAGACUGUAUCUUCACCAUUGACCCAUCAACUGCCCGCGACCUCGAUGAUGCCCUCUCCUGCAAGCCACUUGCUGAUGGCAACUUUGAAGUGGGGGUUCACAUUGCAGAUGUCAGCUAUUUUGUUCCCGAGGGAUCCCCCCUGGAUAAAGUGGCUGCUGAGAGAGCUACAAGCGUCUACUUGGUUCAGAAGGUCAUCCCCAUGCUUCCCAGGCUGCUGUGCGAGGAGCUGUGCAGCCUCCAUCCCUUGACCGACAAGCUGACCUUCUCUGUGAUCUGGACGCUAACCCCUGAGGGCAAGAUCCUUGGUGAAUGGUUUGGUCGGACCAUCAUUCGCUCCUGUACCAAACUGAGCUACGAGCACGCACAGAGCAUGAUUGAAAGCCCGACCGAGAAAAUCCCUGAGAAGGAGCUGCCGCCCAUCUCCCCCGAGCACACCAGUGAGGAGGUACACCAGGCUGUCUUGAAUCUCCACGGAAUCGCAAAGGAGUUGCGAAAACAACGGUUUGUGGACGGCGCACUGCGUCUGGAUCAACUAAAACUUGCUUUCACUCUGGAUCACGAGACCGGACUGCCUCAAGGAUGUCACAUCUACGAGUACCGCGACAGCAACAAGCUCGUGGAGGAGUUUAUGCUCCUGGCCAACAUGGCAGUGGCCCACAAGACGCACCGCACCUUCCCUGAGCAUGCCCUGCUGCGCCGGCACCCCCCACCCCAGACCAAGAUGCUCAAUGACCUCGUGGAAUUCUGCGAACAGAUGGGGCUGCCCAUGGACUUCAGCUCUGCCGGGGCCCUCAAUGAAAGUCUGACCAAAACAUUUGGAGAUGACCAGUACUCACUGGCCCGGAAAGAAGUGCUCACCAACAUGUGCUCCCGGCCCAUGCAGAUGGCCCUGUACUUCUGCUCGGGGGUGCUGCAGGACCAGACGCAGUUCCGGCACUACGCCCUCAACGUGCCGCUGUACACCCACUUCACCUCUCCCAUCCGCCGCUUCGCCGACGUCCUGGUGCACCGCCUCCUGGCCGCCGCGCUUGGCUACGGGGAACUGCCCGACUUGGAGUCCGAGGCCCUGCAAAAGCAGGCCGACCACUGCAAUGACCGCCGCAUGGCCUCCAAGCGCGUCCAGGAGCUCAGCACCGGCCUCUUCUUUGCCAUCCUGGUUAAGGAAAGCGGCCCCCUGGAGUCAGAAGCCAUGGUGCUAGGCGUCCUGAACCAAGCCUUCGACGUGCUGGUGCUGCGCUACGGGGUGCAGAAGCGUGUCUACUGUAAUGCUCUGCCCCUGCGCUCCCACCACUUCCAGAAGGUGGGCAAGAAGCCCGAGCUCACGCUCGUCUGGGAGCCUGAGGCCGAAGGACAGGAGCAAGUGCAGCAGGUUGUCACCAUCUUCAGCCUGGUGGAGGUGGUACUGCAGGCCGAGACCACCGCCCUCAAGUACAGCGCCAUCCUCAAGCGGCCGGGCACCGAGGGCCUCCUGGGCCUGCAAGACAAGGAGCCAGCGGCCGGUGGCCCGCAGGCCUGAGGCCUCCCGCGCAGCCGCACCCCGCCCACGCCCCUGCCCCACCCGCCCACACCCCUGCCCCACCCGCCGGCUUUUAGGAAUAGGACCUUUCGACACCAAAGGGGAUUUUUAAUUUGGUUUUUAACAACUCAGGGUUUUGUUUUUAUUUCCUCAUUCUAUUUUAUUUUUGCAGCUCAGUUUUUUAAAACAAACUGGAGAGGAGAGGGCGGGGCUGGACGGAAGGCUGAGGCCUGGCUGGUGCUUCACCGGAGCAGAAUGGGACCCGGUCCUCCUGGGAAGGCCGGCCAGCCCCCCUUCUGCCAGGCCACCCACUGCCUUCCCCUGCCCAGGAAACCGGGGGCUUUCAGCAAAUCAGUGUCAUGGAAUAAAAUCAAGUGUGAAUUGCUGUCUGGUGUGUGGGGCACCGCUGGGAGGCCCGGGCAGCAGGGUGCCCCUUGGACCCAGGGCAAGGGACCUGGCUCCGGCUCCACCCCUCUCAGCUGAGCUGGGGUUGCCACCCCCCAGAACCUUCCUGUCGGUUCCAGGAUGAUUCACAGAGCUGGCCACAUGUCAGAUUGAUGCCCGUGCCUCAUUCUGGCUGAUUAGAAAUGUAAUUAGUAUGCAAGACAGCGGGCUCACCCAUCACCCUGCAGCAAGUGACUGUCCAUCCCCACUCCCACCACCGCCUCUCUGCCUGCUGGCCUCGGGAGGGACAACACGAGUCCUGUGGCACUCCCUCCGUCAGGUUCUAGGCCAGAGCUCUGAGUAGCCCUGUCCACACCCCUCGGCACAAGCCGGUACCUCAGCCCCUCCAGCGCCAGUCCUGUACCCUAGUGGCGCUGAGGGAGCCGGGGGACAGAGGGGACCUGGGCCUGCCAGAGACGAGGAAGGCCCUCAAACUGGCCUUCCCGACCAGGGAGGGGGAAAGGGGUGCCUGGUGGCCCUACCCUGGCCUCGUCACCUUCCUGACAUCAUCCUGAGCACCCACCAAUUGUACCAUCCCUGGGGACCCAGGGCCCGAGAUGGAGGGCUCCUGGGCCGUGCUCUCUCCCCAGCUGGCCUGACCAUAGCCUGCCCUCCUGCCCCGCCUGACUAGGGAACCACAAGUUGGCUUCCCCAAGGGCUGCCAGAAACGAGGGUGCAAACCACAGUGACCCCGGCCCUGGUUCCACCGUGCUUUUCCUUGCGUGUCAGUAUUAACGAGCCCAUUUGAUCUGGUUGCAGUGAAUCCUCUUCAAAGAAAAAUUCAGUGCAGGACCUUGUCGGAGGGCCUCGUGGGGACCAGAAGACCGAUGGCGUGGCUGCCUUUGUCCCCCACGGGCAGGCCGUGGCUCAUCAUCCGCCCAGCCCCGGGCCGGGUGUCGGAGGGGAAUGGAGGACACGCCACCGUCCUGCCUUCCUUUCUCCUGCUCCAGCACCUCAGCCAGCCUUCCAGGUGUCCAUCUCGCCACGCCCAAGAUGUCCCUGAGGCCACCAACCCCCUGUCUGUUCCUGUCCCCAGAGCGUUCUCCUGCAACCAAGGAUCUGAAGGGAAGUUAGGUGUGAGGGGCUGGUGGUUUGGUAUUUGGAUGAGGAGAAGAUUUCUGGGUGUUUCCUGACCUAGGCAGCCCGACAGAGCCCAAGGGCAGGACAAUCUCAACCCUGUCCCGAUCCCCUGGACUGCCCCACCCUCUGAGGAGGAGCCCCGUUCUGCCCUGGGGCUGUCCCCUGCCGGCCUCCCACAGAGCCCGGGAGCUGAGCCCCCGUGGCGUGACACCCAUCAGGGAGGCAGUGGGUCAGAGCCCCCGGGCCCUCUCUUGAGCAGCAUGAACUCAGACCGGACCGCAGUCCUCACUGCCCCGGUGCCCCCUGAGCCCCGAUGAGGCAUAGCCGGCUCGGUCAGCAAGGAACAUCUUUGCCGCCAGGACUUGUUUGGGCAGAGGUGGGUCUCGCCCUGAUGCACCCUAGAACCACGGGGGCCAUGGCCACCCCAGUCCACCCCCGCUUCAUCUGACAGAAGUGGAAACUGCACCCAGAAAGGAGCCAGGCCUCUGGUGGGUGCUCAGGACAAGCCAGGCCUCUGGCCAAGGUGACACAGCAAGACUGCCCAGCCAGGACUGGGCUCAGGCACCUGCCCUCCACUGCACCCCACUGCCCAAAGGAGGCGGCCCAGCACUCUCCCCCAAGGUCAAACGGGGUCCGUCUUCAUCCCCUCUCCCAGCACGCGGAGGUCCACUGAAGGAGCCGGCCCCUUCUGUGUCCCAGUGUGACGGAACUGUUGACAAAAGGGUGACGAGACACAAAACCUCGUCAAAAAGGAAGACUCAUCCCUGCAGCUGCACACAAGUACCGGCAGAAGCCCAGAACCCAGAGCAAGGCCCUGUCUUCCUCGAGGGGCCCCCUCGGAUCCCCAUGGCGGAGGGAGCCGUAGACGCAAAUAACGUCCCUACGAGACGAGGCUCUUAGCAAAGUUCCUGGAGGCUGGAGAGGGUAUCCCCAGCUCCGAAGGGACCGGGGCCAGAGGGGGUGAAGGAACUGAGGCUCGAAGUUCUGGAAAGCGUUGAGCCAAAUACUGAAGAAGCAACACAUACGCAAGCCCAAGACAGACGUGAAGCAAAAUGUCUCCUUGAGGAGAUUUCACCUUCGUAGAUUUUCAAACCAAGCUGCUGUUGGAAUAAGACUGCCCUCCUGGUUCUUGGGAUAGAAAAAUCAGAGUUAAAGUACGGAAUGCAGUUCCAGGAGUAAGCUUUCGUUCCCUCACCUUCUACAUCCGUGGCCAAACGCCCUGUCGGCCAUGGAGGUGUCACGCCUGCGUCACCCUAAGGAGAACGACCUUGAGCCAUGGCUGCCAGCCCAGCCCGUCCCUGCCCCUGCGGCUGCACCCCCAGCCUGGGGCAGGCUGAGCCCCCGGGAACUAUAUGAGGAAGGGGGUAUGGUGGUGUUUCCUGCCCUGCUGGUGGACGGUCCCCUUUGCUGCACUCCCCGAAGAUAAUGUGACCCAAGUUCCCCUGUGGAAGGGCCGUGCCUCGAUGUUCCUCCCACACAGGUGGGUCGAAUGGCCCAGGAGGAAGCCUUGCCCACACAGACCUUAAUUACAAAUACUUGCUUUCUAAGA